GGAGAGGUGGCAGAGUGGUCGAUUGCGUCUGACUUGAAAUCAGAUGGGUGUGCAAGCAUCCCCAGGGUUCGAAUCCCUGCCUCUCCG
rnacentral:tRNA from 1 species